GCAUUAAUGGGGUAGUGGUAACCUGGGUCGUUGCCAUCCGACUGUGUUGAACUUGUAGCUCGACCCGCCGGGGGUUCGAUUCCCCCUUAAUGCA